AUUGAACGCUCGCGGCAGGCCUAACACAUGCAAGUCGAACGAGUGGCGGACGGGUGAGUAAUGUCUAGGAUACUGCCUAAUGGAGGGGGAUAACUACUGGAAACGGUAGCUAAUACCGCAUACCAUCGGCUGUGCCCAGAUGGGAUUAGCUAGUAGGUGGGGUAAAGGCUCACCUAGGAGACGUUCCCUCGCUGGUCUGCGAGGAUGAACAGCCACACUUGAACUUAGACCCGACGCAGAGUCCUACAGAAAGCAACAGUGGUGAAAAUUGCACAAAUAGCGCAGGCCUGAUGCAGCCGUGCCGGGUGGAUGAAGAAAGCCGCCGGGUUGUAGAGGACUUUCAGCGGGGAGACUUUACCCGCAGAGGAAGCACCGGCGAACUCCGUGCCGGCCGCCGCGGUAAUUG
rnacentral:rRNA from 1 species